rnacentral:rRNA from 1 species
AUGUCCACCCCAGCUGCUCGAUCUCGCCAAUCGGAGGAUGGACGCAUCAGGUCCUCCUCUUCGUCUCCCAGCGGCAGCGAGACGGCGGCCAAGAGACUCACCGACGACCUCCUCGUCGAGAUCCUCUCGCGCGUGCCCACCAAGUCGCUCUGCCGCUUCAAGUGCGUCUCCAAGCACUGGCUCGGCCUCACCAACGACCGCAACUACCGCCGGAAGCUCCCCCAGACCUUGACCGGCUUCUACCAGGGGAAUCAUUUGGUAGAUUCAGCUCUCCCCUUCACCAAUGUCUCGGGGAGCCGCCAUCUCACAUAUCCCGCCUUCCUGUCCAACCGCCGGCGGGUCAAGGUCAUGGACUGCUGUAACGUCCUCCUUCUCUGCUCCUCAUACGUUGCCGGCGACCAUGGCGACGAGUUCCGGUACAUCGUGUGCAAUCCCGCCACAGAGGAAUGGGCCGAGUUCCCAUACUGCGGCUAUUCCGGCCUGUCGGCCGUGUCCCCUCAUUUCCAUGUGUUUUUAUUGCCGGCGGCGGGUAUGGAGGACCAACAUGGCGUCUGUCUUACCGGAGUGUAUGUCUAUUCAUCUGAAACCGGGAGUUGCGUUCAUAAGGAGAAGAGAUGGAGCCGCAGUAUUGUUGUCGCUAAUGAUCGGUCGACUAUCUAUCUUAAUGGUUAUCUGCAUUUCUGCGCCAUUGUUGAUGGUUCUGCCGGUUGUCUAGCUGCAGUGGAUAAGGAGGGGGGAGCAAGGACUAACUUUCGUGUUCCUGGUCUGGAUGUUGGUUUUAUUCAGCUGUCACAGGGCUGCCUGCAUUAUGCUGGUUUUGACACAGAUGAUGAUAAUGUCGUUCGACUGCUAGUUUAUGUUCUUAAAGACUAUGACCGCAAAGAGUGGAUACUGAAGCAUAGCGUCGAAACUUCACAUUUGCUUGGAGGGCGACACAUAGAUUACCUUGAUGAGGACUUCGAUUGGAUUGCAAUUCAUCCAGAAUGUGACUUGAUCUUAUUUGUUGUGGCCCAGGAGGAUAUCACAUUCAUGUGCUAUGAUAUGGAUAGUGGACAAGUUAAUGUGCUCUGCAAUCUUGAAGAUAGCCAGCAGGCAUAUUUUCCGUAUGUGCCACUAUAUGAAGAGUUACAAUCGUUGCACAAGUGA